rnacentral:rRNA from 1 species
UACAGAGGUCUCAAGCGUUGUUCGGAUUCAUUGGGCGUAAAGGGUGCGUAGGUGGCGCUGUAAGUCGGGUGUGAAAUUUCGGAGCUUAACUCCGAAACUGCAUUCGAUACUGCCGUGCUUGAGGACUGGAGAGGAGACUGGAAUUUACGGUGUAGCGGUGAAAUGCGUAGAUAUCGUAAGGAAGACCAGUGGCGAAGGCGGGUCUCGUGGACAGUUCCUGACGCUGAGGCACGAAGGCCAGGGGGAGCAAACGGG